GACGAACGCUGGCGGCGUGCCUAAUACAUGCAAGUCGAGCGGACGAUUCGAAAGCUUGCUUUUGAAUCGUUAGCGGCGGACGGGUGAGUAACACGUGGGCAACCUGCCCUGUAGACGGGGAUAACACCGAGAAAUCGGUGCUAAUACCGGAUAACACGAAAUGUCGCAUGACGUUUCGUUGAAAGGCGGCGCAAGCUGCCGCUACAGGAUGGGCCCGCGGCGCAUUAGCUAGUUGGUGAGGUAACGGCUCACCAAGGCGACGAUGCGUAGCCGACCUGAGAGGGUGAUCGGCCACACUGGGACUGAGACACGGCCCAGGCUCCUACGGGAGGCAGCAGUAGGGAAUCUUCCGCAAUGGACGAAAGUCUGACGGAGCAACGCCGCGUGAGCGAAGAAGGCCUUCGGGUCGUAAAGCUCUGUUGUUAGGGAAGAACAAGUAACGUAGUAACUGACGUUACUAUGACGGUACCUAACGAGAAAGCCACGGCUAACUACGUG
rnacentral:rRNA from 1 species